rnacentral:rRNA from 1 species
GAUGAACGCUGGCGGCGUGCCUAAUACAUGCAAGUCGAGCGAACAGAUAAGGAGCUUGCUCCUUUGACGUUAGCGGCGGACGGGUGAGUAACACGUGGGUAACCUACCUAUAAGACUGGGAUAACUUCGGGAAACCGGAGCUAAUACCGGAUAACAUUUGGAACCGCAUGGUUCUAAAGUGAAAGAUGGUUUUGCUAUCACUUAUAGAUGGACCCGCGCCGUAUUAGCUAGUUGGUAAGGUAACGGCUUACCAAGGCGACGAUACGUAGCCGACCUGAGAGGGUGAUCGGCCACACUGGAACUGAGACACGGUCCAGACUCCUACGGGAGGCAGCAGUAGGGAAUCUUCCGCAAUGGGCGAAAGCCUGACGGAGCAACGCCGCGUGAGUGAUGAAGGGUUUCGGAUCGUAAAACUCCGUUAUUAGGGAAGAACAAAUGUGUAAGUAACUGUGCACGUCUUGACGGUACCUAAUCAGAAAGCCACGGCUAACUACGUG